AAGCAAACCUGUUCUAUCGCUCCGGCUGAUGCCGGGGAGGAAAGUCUGGACAACGCAGAGCGCCCCGCUUCCUAACGGGAAGGGCUUCGGCAAUUGCCGGAGUACGGAAAGUGCCACAGAAAACAAACCGUCCCGAAUGCUUUCGGGAUAAGGGUGAAAACGCGGGGUAAGAGCCCACGGCUUUGCAUGGCGACAUGCAUCGCGGUAAACCCCGGGGGUUGAAAGGCCAAAUAGGUUGCGGAAAUUAAGGGAGUUGCUCGUUUCCAUCCCGCAAGGGAGCCGCAACGGGUAGGCCGCUGGAGCUUGUCAGUGAUGGCAAGCCAAGAUAAAUGAUAGAAAUCCUGAUUGGGAUACAGAAUCCGGCUUAUAGGGUUUGCU
rnacentral:RNase_P_RNA from 1 species